rnacentral:rRNA from 1 species
UAGGGAAUCUUCGGCAAUGGACGAAAGUCUGACCGAGCAACGCCGCGUGAGUGAAGAAGGUUUUCGGAUCGUAAAACUCUGUUGGUAGAGAAGAACAAGGACGUUAGUAACUGAACGUCCCCUGACGGUAUCUAACCAGAAAGCCACGGCUAACUACGUGCCAGCAGCCGCGGUAAUACGUAGGUGGCAAGCGUUGUCCGGAUUUAUUGGGCGUAAAGCGAGCGCAGGCGGUUUCUUAAGUCUGAUGUGAAAGCCCCCGGCUCAACCGGGGAGGGUCAUUGGAAACUGGGAGACUUGAGUGCAGAAGAGGAGAGUGGAAUUCCAUGUGUAGCGGUGAAAUGCGUAGAUAUAUGGAGGAAAACCGGUGGCGAAGGCGGCUCUCUGGUCUGUAACUGACGCUGAGGCUCGAAAGCGUGGGGAGCAAACAGG